ACAAAGUAUGAUCUCCUACACAGAAAAAAAUAUAAAGAAACAGAAAUUGCCUUGGGAGGAUAUGGAUGUCAGAUUUAACAGAGAUUUCAAAGAACUUAUUAUAAAUCAUGUUUGAAGAAUGAAAGCAGUAUGAUGACAAUUUAUCAAAUAGAGAACAUCAAUAAACAGGAAUUUUUAAAAUGUUUAAAUUGAAAUUCAUCAAUUGAAAAUUAUAAUAAUUGAAAAUUUCACUGGAGGAACUCAACAAUAGAUUUGAGCAGGCAAAAGAAUUAGUGAACUUGAAGACAGAUCAGUAGAGGUUAUAUCAUUUGAAAAAAAAAAGAAAAAACAUGAAAACCCAUGAGCAGAUCCUUCCAGAAGUCAAGGACACCAUAAGGUCCACCGGUUAUGUAGAAUGGAAGAACUGUUGAGAAAGAGGACAGAAGAUACUUGAAUAAAAACUUUUCAAAUGAUGAAAAACUUUUCAAGUGAUGAAAAACAUUAAUCUAUAUAUCUAAGAACUCAACGAGUUCCAAAUAGGGAUAUAACUCAAUGAAUAUCUGAAUAGGAUAAAAAAGAAGAUAUUUACACCCAGACCCAUCACAGUGAUACUAUUGAAAGUAAAGAUUAAAAUCUUGAAAUCAAGAAAAACAAAAAUGAACAGGAAACAACACCCCCAAAAAACAAAACAAAAAAACAGGAACUAAAACAAAACAAAACAAAACAAAAAAAACAGUCCAUUAUUUACAAGGAAAUCAGUUUAAGAAUAAUAGGUAACUUUUUGUCCAAAACAAUGGAGGGUGGGAAGCAGAUGGAUGACAUACUCAGAAUGAAAGAUAAAAACAAAAAUUGUCAAUCAAGAAUCUAUACAUCAAAAGUAUUCUCAAAAGUAAAGAAGAAAUAAAGACAUUCUAGGACAAACCACAGUGGAGAGAAUCAUUGCUGACAGAUUUGCCUUGUAAGAAAUAUUAAAGCAAGUUCUUUAGGCUGAAAGUAAGUCACAUCA
rnacentral:lncRNA from 1 species